UGGGGAAUAUUGCACAAUGGAGGGAACUCUGAUGCAGCGACGCCGCGUGAACGAAGAAGGCUUUCGAGUCGUAAAGUUCUUUUAUAUGGGAAGAUAAUGACGGUACCAUAAGAAAAAGCCCCGGCUAACUACGUGCCAGCAGCCGCGGUAAUACGUAGGGGGUUAGCGUUGUCCGGAAUAACUGGGCGUAAAGGGUUCGCAGGCGGAAAUGCAAGUCAGGUGUAAAAGGCAGUAGCUUAACUACUGUAAGCAUUUGAAACUGCAUAUCUUGAGAAGAGUAGAGGUAAGUGGAAUUUUUAGUGUAGCGGUGAAAUGCGUAGAUAUUAAAAAGAAUACCGGUGGCGAAGGCGACUUACUGGGCUCAUUCUGACGCUGAGGAACGAAAGCGUGGGUAGCAAACAGG
rnacentral:rRNA from 1 species